UCCAGAUGGCGAGCUAGAGUCCAAUCUCAUCCAGGAAAGUGGCCAGUUGCCCGCUGCUGAGAAGGAAGCUCGAAGCGUCUGGGCUUCACCGGGCUCAGCUCAGAGAUGGGUUUUCAGGAGUCUCUGGUGGAACGCGGCAGCAAGGCAUCACUCACUGUACAAGUCUUUCCAUUUCUGAGAACGUAAAGAACUUAAGCAGGAGGCACGCGGAGUGUAGAUUGCUUUGUAGUAUUUCAAAGCAGCGCUGAUCGUGGGCAGAGGAGCCGAUAUGUGCAACAGAAACUACUCAAUGGAACUGUGCUGGGUGUCUGUCCUCAAUAAUGCAAGUGUGUGCUCUCACUCUGGCUGCUGUCCUGCUGGAACCACCAGGACUCAUCUUUCACUGUCUUCCACAAAGCAUGCCUCGGGACUGUAGGCAGAGUAUCAACCAAGAAGGCCUUGUGUGGGAAAAGCAAUUACUAGCAAACCAGAAGCAUUCUUGCAAGUAAUCAUUGGAGUCCUCAGACUGUGGUUGUCCAGAAGAAGAUAGAUGCCCACACAGAAACACCACAUAAGCGAAAUGCUAGCAUGGCUUGUUUGAAUUACUAAAACUCAGUCUUUUCAAUUCCAGAGACUGUUGGAAAGACUAUCAUUCUUUCUGUACCCUCUUCUAUGAAGUUCUUUGAGCCACAGAUGCUAGAGAUGUGGUGGAAAUGCAUCCACUGAAGAUUGGUUCUCCACAGUCUGUUGAUUUUUGCACCAUGUCCUAUGAUGAUUUUCUGUGAGUUCUUUGAUGAGAGGUGGUAGCUACACUUAUCUGUGGUUUAGAAUGUUAUAAGGAAUUUAAGGGAAGGAAUCUUGGAAUGGUUGGAGGGUAGGAAGGGUUAAGAAGUAAUAUAAUUCUAUUUCAAUUAACAUAUUUUAUAAAAGACAAUAAAAUGAGAGGAAGAUGAAAAAUUCAACAGAAGUAGGAAGACACACCAAAUGAAGUGAUAAUAACUUUGACUUGAUUUUACUUAUUUUUUGAGAAUUUUUUAUUAUAUUUUCAUGCUUCAAUUGUUUGCUUUUAUCAUUUUCUAACCAGAACUACUCUUAAUGGCUGCCCUUCCUUGCUCUACAUCUAUGCUAUACUUUGACUAUAUAUUUUCCAAAUAACUAAACUAUUUGUUUUCAGUUUCUUUUACAAUUUUCUCCAUUUCCUCCCUUUUUAUUUGUUCACAAAAAUAAUUUUAUUGCAAAUGACCUCAAAUAAACAUUUUAUAGAUGCAUACUAUUUGAGUGAAUUAAAAAGCUAGAUCCAACUAUCUGUUGAUUCCAAGAAACACAUGCCACUGUUAUAAACACAGAAAGUCAACAAUCAGAAAUCAACCCACUGAUAAAACAGAACCAGAAAUAAAGCUGAUACUGAUAUUUUGAUAUCCAACUGAGUAGAUUUCUAACAAAAAUGGGUUAGAGGAGAUAAAGAAAGCCACUACAUACCACUAAUAAAAUAAAAAGAAAUGCAAAUGUAUGUAAUAGAUGUUGUGGCUCUCAAUUUCAUAAUA